ACAGGCGUGAGCCACUGUGCCCGGCAGCACCUUUUCUUUAUGGACAUAGAUUUUGGUAUUUCCUUUACCAAAGGGAAGAUAGGUGGGACUACUUCUGGUUAUAUGCUUUGCUUUAGGCUUGAAGAAUAGUUGCUCUAAAGAUUUUACUUUGUGAAAGACCCAAGGUUGAAAUGAGUCGGAUUCAUCGGAAUCCAUUACUUUUCCAGGGAAUAGGAUUUUAAAUGAAAAGCUAAGCAUCCUCUCUUUCAAUAUCUGCCCUCACAGUGUGCCUGAGUUGCAUUUACACUUAGAGUGACAGAUGAGACUCGGUUGUGUGUGUGGUUGGAAGGCUGUGCUCACGCAGUGUGAGAUCAGCCCCUGGGUGGUGAGCGCUCACUGGACUGGCAUGCACGAACUUGUAGUGGCAGAGACAAGUGAAAGCAUGUCAUUUCUGCAUGGAUCCCAGUGGUGGCAGAUAGGUGUUUGGCGUUAGAACAGGCAGAAACACCUGUUUUCCAAUCUGUAAUGAAAGAACUGUGUAAUAACAUGCAAUUUGUACAAUUACCAGUGUCUCUACCAUAGUGAUCAGAUUACAUUUGUUGCCAAGCAUCUUGAUCAGGGAAGUGGAGUAUGAGUAAGUCAGAGAGGAAAUAUUUAGCAGUGACCACUGUCAAGCUGGAAAGACCUAUAGAGCUUCCAUUCUGUCCCUUUGCUUCAGGAUGGGGAAGGGAAGCCACUCCACUGAUGUGUAGUGCUGUGAGGACCUUUCUGAAAUUGGGCAAAGAGCUCAGCACUUUGAGUCCAUGAGAAAUAAAACUGACCAGACGUUAAGUAGCAGGUGAGGACCACAGUGAAAGAUCCUGCAGCCUCUCCCAUGGAUUUCUGCAGAUGGGUGAGUUGUGCCUUCAAGGCACCACGUCUUACAGAGAUCCUCUGAGAAAGGUGGAGCAGCGUAUGCCUAGGAUGAUGCAGAAAUUGACAUGUGCCUUCCUGAUAAGUGUUCUGAAAUAAAGCACUAAAUAGCAGUAGACUAGGUUGGCAAACUCAAUCAGAUGGGCUUAGAGAUAACAAUUCCAGAAUAGUAUCCGCAAGGGACAGGGCACCAGGUGAACUGGCUGCGUAAUCCAUGUGUCUGGUUGUUCAUUGAAUUUAAGGAACACAGUGGAGGCUGGGUGCAGUGGCUGACACCUAUAAUCCCAACACUUUGGGAGGCCAAGGUGGGUGGAUCACCUGAGGUCAGGAGUUCAAGACCAGCCUGGCCAAAGUGGCAAAACCCCGUCGCUACUAAAAACAGAAAUUAGCUGGGUUUGGUGGCACAUGCCUGCAGUUCCAGCUACUCGGGAGGCUGAGGCAGGAGAAUUGCUUGAACCUGGGAGGUGGAGGUUGCAGUGAGCUGAGAUCACGCCACUGCACUCCAGCCUGGCGACAGUGAGACUCCGUCUCAAAAAAAAAAAAGAGAAACAGUGGAAUCUUGUAAUAAAAGCCAUCACUGCUACAGCUGUGGAAAAUGGGAAUACUCGGUCGUAUUUUCUGGACAGUUUUUGAUGGUCUCCAUCUUCCCUGGAAUUGACAGGCCUCGUGCAUUGUGCGUCAGCAGCAAUGUUUAUGGUGAAAAAUGGCAACGGGACCGCGUGCAUAAUGGCCAACUUCUCUGCUUCCUUCUCAGUGAACUAUGACACCAAGAGUGGCCCUAAGAACAUGACCUUUGACCUGCCAUCAGAUGCCACAGUGGUGCUCAACCGCAGCUCCUGUGGAAAAGAGAACACUUCUGACCCCAGUCUCGUGAUUGCUUUUGGAAGAGGACAUACACUCACUCUCAAUUUCACGAGAAAUGCAACACGUUACAGCGUCCAGCUCAUGAGUUUUGUUUAUAACUUGUCAGACACACACCUUUUCCCCAAUGCAAGCUCCAAAGAAAUCAAGACUGUGGAAUCUAUAACUGACAUCAGGGCAGAUAUAGAUAAAAAAUACAGAUGUGUUAGUGGCACCCAGGUCCACAUGAACAACGUGACCGUAACGCUCCAUGAUGCCACCAUCCAGGCAUACCUUUCCAACAGCAGCUUCAGCAGGGGAGAGACACGCUGUGAACAAGACAGGCCUUCCCCAACCACAGCGCCCCCUGCGCCACCCAGCCCCUCGCCCUCACCUGUGCCCGAGAGCCCCUCUGUGGACAAGUACAACGUGAGCGGCACCAACGGGACCUGCCUGCUGGCCAGCAUGGGGCUGCAGCUGAACCUCACCUAUGAGAGGAAGGACAACACGACGGUGACAAGGCUUCUCAACAUCAACCCCAACAAGACCUCGGCCAGCGGGAGCUGCGGCGCCCACCUGGUGACUCUGGAGCUGCACAGCGAGGGCAGCACUGUCCUGCUCUUCCUGUUCGGGAUGGUGAGGCUGGGGCGGCGCCUCCCUGGGGGCGCCCACUGUGUCUCCACCACGUCUUUUUGUGCCCUGAGUCUGCUCAUGGGAGGCAGCGUUAGGAAGGAGGCGGCCUCACUUUUUUCUGCCUUCCCUUUAUCCUGGGCUUUUUAGUUCCUUGGUUCCCCUCCCCCUUUUCCAUUCCAUUCAUAGAUGCAGCAGAUGAUGUGGGCGGGGCUGCUGUGCCCACAGUUGGAGUGGCUGCAGGGGAGGGGAUGCAGGCCGUGCGGCCUUCUGGCUUCAGAUGCUGCUGCCCUGUGGUUCCGUGGUGGCAUUUCUGCCUGGGAGGACUCCUGUGUAGUUAGCAACAUAAGACAUGAAGCAUAUAAUUGUCACUUGUCAGUCUUUUUAAAUCGCUGUGCAAAUGAAUUAACAGCUCAGUUUCUUAUAAUUUUAGCUUUCCAAAUCAUGCUUUCCUGUGCCGUGAUAGCUCCUGCAGUCCCCGUUUUCCAGAGACUCUGACUCUCAAGAGGUCUGGAAGGACCAGCCUGGGCAGCACAGGGAGGCUCCGUUUCUGCAAAUAAUAAAACGAGUUAGCUGGGCGUAGUGGCGCACACCUGUGGUCCCAGCUACUUGGGAGGCUGAGGUGGGAGGAUCACUUGAGCCCAGGAGUUAAGGUUGCGAUGAGCCAUGAUCACUCCACUGCACUCCAGCCUGGGUGACAGAGCAAGACUCUCAGAGAAGGGUCUGGAAGGAACUAACUAAAAUUUUCAUUCCCCAGAGAUACACAACGCCUUUUAUAGACAAGAUCUUUUGCAGUUUUGUUCUAAUACUAGAAAUGUAGGAAGUCAGGUUUAUUACCCAAUGACCAUUCACCUUUGAUGAUAAAUGUGUGAAUCUACUGGGGUUAAAGAUCAUCUUUCUAUGAAUCUGCUCCGUGAUUAAAGAUCAUUUUUCUUUUUAAGAAUGCAAGUUCUAGCCGGUUUUUCCUACAAGGAAUCCAGUUGAAUACAACUCUUCCUGACGCCAGAGACCCUGCCUUUAAAGCUGCCAACGGCUCCCUGCGAGCGCUGCAGGCCACCGUCGGCAAUUCCUACAAGUGCAACGCCGAGGAGCACGUCCGUGUCACGAAGGCGUUUUCAGUCAAUAUAUUCAAAGUGUGGGUCCAGGCUUUCAAGGUGGAAGGUGGCCAGUUUGGCUCUGGUGAGUGUCACCGAGGGCAGCUGUCGCGGGGUGUGGAGGACGUGCUUCAGACUCCGCCUGUGGACGUUUAGUCGCUUCUGUGUGGGCUGGGGCGACGCCCCUGUUCCUCUGCAAGGAGCUGUUUCUUCUUCCCGGUCUGAGAUUCUAGAGGUAACUCCCCCUGCUUUAGAGAGGCCCAGCGUGUCUCUCAGCUGGGAGCCCCUGGUACCAUUUGAGAGUAAGGGAAUCAUUUUAAGAAACAGUGGUGGCGCUUCUCCCAUGAACGUUGAAUACAGCACUGUCAUCUGAUGUGCACAGAGGCCCUGGACGCAGCACAGCUGUCCGGCCACAGCCCCUGAUUCCAGACGGGGGAGAGACGUGUGGUUUCCUCGCCGUGCAGAGAGCACCAGUCUCUGCAGCGGCUUCCCCAAGUGACAAUUCCAGCUAGAGCUGGAACCUUCCGCCAGGGUUCCUCUUUGCCUUUUGGCUGAUGUGGGGGAGUGGUGGGGAGAGAGGCCUGUUUGCAGGCCCCUGUGUGAGCAGAGCCCUGACACCAUCCGUCUGUCUUGGCAGUGGAGGAGUGUGUGCUGGACGAGAACAACAUGCUGAUCCCCAUCGCUGUGGGUGGUGCCCUGGCGGGGCUGGUCCUCAUCGUCCUCAUCGCCUACCUCGUCGGCAGGAAGAGGAGUCACGCCGGCUACCAGACUAUCUAGCCUGGUGCACGCAGGCACAGCAGCUGCAGGGGCCUCUGUUCCUUUCUCUGGGCUUAGGGUCCUGUCGAAGGGGAGGCACACUUUCUGGCAAACGUUUCUCAAAUCUGCUUCAUCCAAUGUGAAGUUCAUCUUGCAGCAUUUACUAUGCACAACAGAGUAACUAUCGAAAUGACGGUGUUAAUUUUGCUAACUGGGUUAAAUAUUUUGCUAACUGGUUAAACAUUAAUAUUUACCAAAGUAGGAUUUUGAGGGUGGGGGUGCCGCUGUCUCUGAGGGGGUGGGGGUGCCGCUCUCUCUGAGGGGUGGGGUGCUGCUCUCUCCGAGGGGUGGGGUGCCGCUCUAAAUUGGCUCCACAUCAUUUGACUUUAGGGUUCUGGUGUUUGGUUUCUUCAUUCUUUACUGCACUCAGAUUUAAGCCUUACAAAGGGAAAACCUCUGGCCGUCACACGUAGGACGCAUGAAGGUCACUGGUCGUGAGGCUGACAUGCUCACACAUUACAACAGUAGAGAGGGAAAAUCCUAAGACAGAGGAACUCCAGAGAUGAGUGUCUGGAGCGCUUCAGUUCAGCUUUAAAGGCCAGGACGGGCCACACGCGGCUGGCGGCCUCGUUCCAGUGGCGGCAUGUCCUUGGGCGUCUCUAAUGUCUGCAGCUCAAGGGCUGGCACUUUUUUAAAUAUAAAAAUGGGUGUUAUUUUUAUUUUUUUUUGUAAAGUGAUUUUUGGUCUUCUGUUGACAUUCGGGGUGAUCCUGUUUUGCGCUGUGUACAGUGUGAGAUCGGUGCGUUCUGAUGUCUCGCCGUGGCCUGGGGGUUGUACACAGGAGCAGCUCACGCCAUGCAUUGCCUGUAACAAUGUAAUAAAAAGCCUCUUUCUUUUUUGG
rnacentral:sRNA from 1 species